UACGUAGGGACCGAGCGUUGUCCGGAUUCAUUGGGCGUAAAGAGCUCGUAGGCGGCUGUUCAAGUCGAACGUGAAAACUCGGGGCUCAACUCCGAGCCUGCGUUCGAUACUGGAUGGCUAGAGUCUGGUAGGGGGAUCUGGAAUUCCAGGUGUAGCGGUGAAAUGCGUAGAUAUCUGGAGGAACACCGGUGGCGAAGGCGGCAUCCUGGACCAAUAUUGACGCUGAGGAGCGAAAGCCAGGGGAGCAAACGGG
rnacentral:rRNA from 1 species